CAAACAAAAGCAAACUAAGCUUCCACUUGAGCCCCUUUACCAGGAGUAUCAUCGGGUGCAUCCAAAAUGGUUUCUUAGCCUAUGAUGCAUUAGGUGCUAACUGUGUACCUAUCUUGCACCAAAACUAACUUUGUCUCCAAACAAACCGAAGCGAGAUUCCAUAUGACACAUGUCAUCUAAUAGUUCUAUUGGGGUGCGUCCAAAUGGAUUUCUUAGCAUAUGGUAUGUUCCAUGCAAACCAUGCACCUAUCUUGCAUCAAGAUUAGCACUAUCUCCGAACAGAUCGAACCGACCUUCCACUUGAGCCUCUUCACCUAGGAUUAUCAUCGGGUGCUUCCAUAAUGGUUUCUGAGCCUAUGGUGCAUUAUACACAAACCAUGCACCAAUCUUGCACCUAAACUAACACCACUGUCUCCAAACAGAUUGAAGCGAGAUUCCAUAUGACACACAUGAUCUAGGAGUUCUAUCGGGUGCGUCCAAAUUGAUUUCUAAGAAUAUGGUACGUUCCGUGCAAACCGUACACCUAUCUUUCAUCAAGAUUAGCACUAUCUCCAAACAGACCGAACCGAGCUUUCACUUG
rnacentral:lncRNA from 1 species